UACGGAGGGGGCUAGCGUUGUUCGGAAUUACUGGGCGUAAAGCGCACGUAGGCGGAUCAGUCAGUUAGGGGUGAAAGCCCAGGGCUCAACCCUGGAACUGCCUUUAAUACUGCUGGUCUGGAGGUCGAGAGAGGUGAGUGGAAUUCCGAGUGUAGAGGUGAAAUUCGUAGAUAUCGGGAGGAACACCAGUGGCGAAGGCGGCGAUCUGGGAAGAUACUGACGCUGAGGUGCGAAAGCGUGGGGAGCAAACAGG
rnacentral:rRNA from 1 species